rnacentral:rRNA from 1 species
CCUACGGGAGGCAGCAGUGAGGAAUAUUGGUCAAUGGCCGGAAGGCUGAACCAGCCAAGCCGCGUGAAGUACGAAGGUGCCAAGCAUUGUAAACUUCUUUUGUCAAGGGACAAAAUCAGGCUCGAGAGCCUGACCGAGGGUACUUGAAGAAAAAGCAUCGGCUAACUCCGUGCCAGCAGCCGCGGUAAUACGGAGGAUGCGAGCGUUAUCCGGAUUUAUGGGGUUUAAAGGGUGCGUAGGCGGACUGUUAAGUCCGCGGUAAAAGCCCGGGGCUCAACCCCGGCGAGCCGUGGAAACUGGCUGUCUUGAGAUGUCGAGAGGUAUGCGGAAUGCGCAGUGUAGCGGUGAAAUGCUUAGAUAUUGCGCAGAACUCCGAUUGCGAAGGCAGCAUACCGGCGGCGAUCUGACGCUGAGGCACGAAAGCGUGGGUAUCGAACAGGAUUAGAUACCCUAGUAGUC